GACAAACCCUGAUGCGCUGACCUUUUUCUCUAUAUAAGGUAGUCACCCUCGUAUAAUUUCUUCAUCUAUUGUAUCAUUUCUUGAUUCUUUCGUUAGUGUUCAUAGCCUUUCAAAAGCUGUUCCAUUUGUUUAAAGACUUGUGUAGCUUGUUCUUGAUCUUGAGAAAACAAAAGAAAAUGGCAACUUCAAUUCAUUAUAAUAUUUUGACAUCUCCUGCAAAAGCAGCAGCCUUCAUGUUUGUGUUGCUGCUCUUGCACACCGCUUGCCAGGCUCAACUCACCUCUACAUUUUACAAAAAUUCUUGUCCAAAUGCACUCAGUACCAUCCGCACUUCCAUAAGGAAUUCAAUUGCAGCAGAACGAAGAAUGGCAGCUUCUCUUAUUCGCCUACACUUCCACGAUUGCUUUGUUCAGGUAUUAUAUAUCGGUCUCUUUUCUCCUGCCAUAUACGUAUGACUAAUAUAUUAUUCUAUGAGCAUUGCUUCAAGAAUUCUUGAACUUGCAGGGUUGUGAUGCCUCAAUCUUACUCGAAGAGACUCCAUCUAUCGAGAGUGAACAGACGGCAGUUCCCAAUAAAGAUUCCGCCAGAGGCUAUCGAGUCAUUGAAAAAGCAAAAUCUGAAGUGGAGAAGAUAUGCCCUGGAGUGGUAUCUUGUGCAGAUAUCCUCGCUGUAGCUGCAAGAGAUGCAUCCGCAUAUGUAAGCAUAUUCAAUAUAACUUGUUUCAGAUGUCACUCUUCUCAAGUUCUAGUUUAUUAUUUUUUUUUUCACAUUUUUCAAAAAAUAUCAGGUGGGAGGUCCAUCUUGGACAGUGAUGCUUGGAAGAAGAGACUCAACUACUGCUGGUAGAACACUAGCCAAUAGUGAACUGCCAAGUUUUACAGAUGGCCUGGACAGACUUAUAUCUCGCUUUCAAAGUAAAGGCCUCAGUGCAAGAGACAUGGUUUCCUUGUCAGGUAUAUCCUUGUCUAACAAGCAACAAGCCUUUUAAGUGAGAGCAAAAUAAUUCUUGGCUUAUAGCAUUUAUGCUAAAGUAUUUUUCAUUUCCUGUUGCAGGUUCUCAUACUCUAGGUCAAGCUCAAUGCGUUACAUUCCGCGAUAGGAUAUACAACAAUGUCACUAUUGACGCUGGAUUUGCUAGCACUCGCCGGCGUGGCUGUCCAGCUGUUGGCGGUGAUUCAAAUUUGGCUCCCCUUGAUUUGGUCACACCCAAUUCUUUUGACAACAAUUAUUUCAAGAAUCUAAUACAAAGGAAAGGUCUUCUCGAAUCUGAUCAAAUUCUUUUUAGUGGAGGUUCAACAGACGGUAUUGUCUCAGAAUAUAGCAGAAGUCGCGCAGCUUUUAGCUCUGACUUUGCUUCUGCCAUGAUCAAAAUGGGAAAUAUUGAGCCUCUCACAGGAACCGCUGGGGAAAUAAGGAGGAUUUGCAGUGCUGUGAACUAGUUUUAUGUUCUUCUCGACCAAUUUGUUCAUUCUUUAUAAUUUGCACCAAGUGUAAAACAAAUGUGUGUUAUUCUUUUACUCAUUUCCGCUUGUAAUUCAUUUCAUUAAUUGUAUUUUUCCAUGUUGAAUAUUAAAAAUUAUAUUGUUAUUUAAU
rnacentral:misc_RNA from 1 species